rnacentral:tRNA from 1 species
AAGGAUUUAGGUUAAAGAAACCUGUGACCUUCAAAGUCAUCAUUAAAAUAAAAUUUUAAGCCUUA